rnacentral:rRNA from 1 species
GAUGAACGCUGGCGGCGUGCCUAAUACAUGCAAGUCGAGCGAACAGACGAGGAGCUUGCUCCUCUGACGUUCGCGGCGGACGGGUGAGUAAAACGUGGAUAACAUACCUAUAAGACUGGGAUAAAUUCGGGAAAACGGAGCUAAUACCGGAUAAUCUAUUGAACCGCAUGGUUCAAUAGUGAAAGGCGGUUUUGCUGUCGCUUUUAGAUGGAUCCGCUCCGCAUUAGCUAGUUGGUAAGGUAACGGCUUACCAAGGCGACGAUGCGUAGCCGAUCUGAGAGGGUGAUCGGCCACACUGGAACUGAGACACGGUCCAGACUCCUACGGGAGGCAGCAGUAGGGAAUCUUCCGCAAUGGGCGAAAGCCUGACGGAGCAACGCCGCGUGAGUGAUGAAGGUCUUCGGAUCGUAAAACUCUGUUAGUAGGGAAGAACAAAUGUGUAAGUAACUAUGCACGUCUUGACGGUACCUAAUCAGAAAGCCACGGCUAACUACGUG